UAUGUUUUACUGAUCCUGUAUUUAACUAAGACCAAAAGUAUUGUUAUUCCCUCUCCGGUUUCAUCUGCGUCUGUCGUAAAAAAGAGGAGGGAGAAAGAAAGGGAAUACUGGACCACUGCUGGAGCCUCCAUGUCUGUUUUCAUUGUGUCGGAGAAUUCCAGUGUUGAGGCUACGAGUGCGCUUUUCCUGGCUCUUCACGCCUUCCUCCCGAAGAAUCGGAGAGGGUACCAAGCGUCAUUCUGCCACCAGUGCACUCCACUCUAAGGAUGCAUGGUUUCAAAGGGACCACAGAACAAAUCAGAGGCCCAUCCCUGCGCACCAAUGGCCUGUCUCUCAUUUCAGAUGGAGAUUGAAGGGCACGUCUGCUCCCGGGGCGCCCACCGCCCUGAGGGCCUCUGCGUCUCCCCUGCGUGAGAGCUGGACCGCUACGCGCACCAAAAAACCCGUCGACCCCCGCAAUCGGC